GCAGUCGAACGCGUUGGCCCAACUGAUUGAUUGUGCUUGCACAGGAUUGACGUUGGUUUCCCAACGAGUGGCGGACGGGUGAGUAACACGUAGGCAACCUGCCCCGAAGCGGGGGACAACAUUUGGAAACAAGUGCUAAUACCGCAUAACAACUUUGACCGCCUGGUCAAAGCUUAAAAGAUGGUUUCGGCUAUCACUUCGGGAUGGGCCUGCGGCGCAUUAGCUUGUUGGUGGGGUAACGGCCUACCAAGGCGAUGAUGCGUAGCCGAGUUGAGAGACUGAUCGGCCACAAUGGGACUGAGACACGGCCCAUACUCCUACGGGAGGCAGCAGUAGGGAAUCUUCCACAAUGGGCGCAAGCCUGAUGGAGCAACACCGCGUGAGUGAAGAAGGGUUUCGGCUCGUAAAGCUCUGUUGUUGAAGAAGAAUGUGCAAGAGAGUAACUGUUCUUGUAUUGACGGUAUUCAACCAGAAAGUCACGGCUAACUACGUGCCAGCAGCCGCGGUAAUACGUAGGUGGCAAGCGUUAUCCGGAUUUAUUGGGCGUAAAGCGAGCGCAGGCGGUUUUCUAAGUCUGAUGUGAAAGCCUUCGGCUUAACCGAAGAAGUGCAUCGGAAACUGGAUGACUUGAGUGCAGAA
rnacentral:rRNA from 2 species